rnacentral:rRNA from 1 species
CCUACGGGAGGCAGCAGUGGGGAAUAUUGGACAAUGGGCGCAAGCCUGAUCCAGCAAUGCCGCGUGAGUGAUGAAGGCCUUAGGGUCGUAAAGCUCUUUUACCAGGGAUGAUAAUGACAGUACCUGGAGAAUAAGCUCCGGCUAACUCCGUGCCAGCAGCCGCGGUAAUACGGAGGGAGCUAGCGUUGUUCGGAAUUACUGGGCGUAAAGCGUACGUAGGCGGUUAUUCAAGUCAGAGGUGAAAGCCCGGGGCUCAACCCCGGAACGGCCUUUGAAACUAGGUAGCUAGAAUCUUGGAGAGGUCAGUGGAAUUCCGAGUGUAGAGGUGAAAUUCGUAGAUAUUCGGAAGAACACCAGUGGCGAAGGCGACUGACUGGACAAGUAUUGACGCUGAGGUACGAAAGCGUGGGGAGCAAACAGGAUUAGAUACCCUGGUAGUCCACGCCGUAAACGAUGAUAACUAGCUGUUCGGGCACUUGGUGCUUGAGUGGCGCAGCUACGACAUUAAGUUAUCCGUCCGUCGGGUAGGUACGGUCGCGAGAAGUUAAACGUAACGAAAGGAAAGUUAGUAACGGUCGUGUUAGACGUGCCGAACGGACGACGACGAGGGAGGAGG